GCCAAUGCCUUAAACCAUGAACACACCGAAUCUCAUCAGAUUUUCGGAACCUGAGCAGAGAUGAGCCGGGUUAAUGCUCGGAAAGGAGACUGUCUGCAAAAUACCAGGUGCUGUAGGCU
rnacentral:rRNA from 1 species